GACGAACGCUGGCGGCGUGCUUAACACAUGCAAGUCGAGCGGUAAGGCCCUUCGGGGUACACGAGCGGCGAACGGGUGAGUAACACGUGAGUAAUCUGCCCAUCACUUCGGGAUAACUCCGGGAAACCGGUGCUAAUACCGAAUAUGACCGCCUUGGGCAUCUGGGGUGGUGGAAAGUUCCGGCGGUGAUGGAUGAGCUCGCGGCCUAUCAGCUUGUUGGUGGGGUAGUGGCCUACCAAGGCUUCGACGGGUAGCCGGCCGGAGAGGGUGACCGGCCACACUGGGAGGGAGACACGGCCCAGACUCCUACGGGAGGCAGCAGUGGGGAAUAUUGGACAAUGGGCGAAAGCCUGAUCCAGCAACGCCGCGUGAGGGAUGACGGCCUUCGGGUUGUAAACCUCUUUCACCUAUGACGAAGCGUAAGUGACGGUAGUAGGAGAAGAAGCACCGGCCAACUACGUGCCAGCCGCCGCAGUAAGAC
rnacentral:rRNA from 1 species